AUGGCUUCAAUCGGUUGGGUGCUACUACUCUUACUUGCAGUGCUUCCCGCACUAGCCACCUCCGGCUCCGACGAUGACGGUAACUUCACUCUCCGAUGCCAUCCAGACCAGGCUGCAACUCUCCUCCAGCUAAAGAAAUCCUUCUUAUUUUUCCGUUACCCCAAUGCCCUUCAGUCAUGGCAGGAUGGUACUGACUGUUGUCUUUGGGAAGGUGUCAGGUGCAGCAAUUCCUCGGGCCAUGUGACUGCUUUGGAGCUUGGUGGGUGUGGCUUCUAUAGUCAGGGCCUUGACCCUGCAAUCUUCAAGCUCACCUCACUCCAACAACUUGACCUUAGCAUGAACAAUUUUGGCCCGUACAAUCUCCCGACAAAUGGGUUUGAGAGGCUCACCUCGCUCACCCACCUCAACCUCUCCUAUUCAGUCUUCCGUGGCCAGAUACCUACUGGUAUCGGCAAACUUGCCAACCUUAUCUCCUUGGAUCUUUCUACUACUACUGAUGAUUCUGCUGUUUAUGGCUAUGAUGCCAACGCCCUUGAUGUUAUUAGUCUGCCCAGGCUGGAGGAACCGAACUUUGAGAUCUUAGUGGCCAACCUCAGCAGUCUGAGAGAGCUCUACCUUGAAGAUGAAGUGGAUAUGUCUAGCAGCAGAGACUGGUGCCAUGCUCUUGCUAAAUCUCUUCCCCAUCUCCGAGUUCUUAGCUUGAGGGAAUGUCGACUCGGGGGUCCUAUCUGUCCAUCUCUCUCAACCCUCCAUUCCCUAAAUGUGAUUAACCUUCAAGACAACUUCAAUAUGCCCGCUGCUCCUUUUCCAGAGUUUUUCAUGGAUUUUCUCAAUUUAAGUGUGCUCCAACUUGGUUGGACAAAUAUCCAAGGGUGGUUCCCUCGUAGAACAUUCAAAUCAAAAACUCUACGAGUUCUUGACUUAUCCUGGAACCACAAUCUCUCAGGGCACAUGCCCAACUUCUCCAACGCAAGUUCUUUAGAGACAAUGAUGCUAGAUGGGACCAAUUUCUCCUUUGGAAAAACAGGUUCUUUUAGCAAUUUCAAGUCUUUGCAAACGUUAAGCAUUGAUGUGAAUUUGGCUUUUAUGGAGCAUCAAUCUUCACCCGGUAUUCACAUGUCUUUACGACAUCUGGAACUCACCCUGACGGACUCGACAAAAGAUUUGGGGCUAAUUUUGUCAUCGAUCGGAGACCUGCAGAACUUGGCAAGCCUAGAACUCUCAGGAUGGAACUUCUCUUGGACAUCCUUCUCUUCAGUUGCCAAACUCAAGAACUUGAAAAGCCUGUCAAUCAUUGACUGCUACUUCACUAAGCCAUCACUAUCGGCAAUUGGCAACCUCACAAACUUGGAUAGCUUGGAAAUCUUUGCUUAUGAUUUCUUAUGGCCAAUACCGUCUGCAAUUGGUAAUCUCAGAAGCUUGAAAAGCUUGGAAUUUGUUAAUCCUUAUGGUUUCUUAGGGCCAAUACCAUCUGCAAUUGGCAAUCUCAGAAGCUUGAAAAGCUUGGAAAUUAAUGCUCAUGGUUUAUUAGGGCCGGUACCAUCUUCAAUUGGCAAUCUUAGUAGCUUGAUAAGGUUGGAAAUUUCUGCUUCUGAGUUUUCUGGGCCAAUGCCAGCUGCAAUAUGCAAUCUUAGUAAUUUGGAGACUUUGGAGAUUCACAGUUCUGGGUUUUCUGGGCCAAUACCCUAUGCAGUUGGACUACUCAAGAAAUUGACAUCACUACGGCUUCGAGAGUGUAGCUUUUCUGGGAGCAUACCAAAUUCAGUAUUUAAUUUGACGCACCUAAUUGAGUUAGAUCUUUCAUUUAAUCUUCUCAGUGGGGAAAUUCCAACAUAUGUUUUCACUAUUCCGACAUUGCAACACUUAGAUAUCCGUUUCAACCAGCUCUCUGGCUCUGUACAAGACUUUGAUGCGACAUCUUCGCACUUGGUGUCAGUGGACCUAAGCACAAAUAACUUGACAGGAAAUAUUCCCAAGUCGUUCUUUCAACUCAGAAGUUUGGCCUAUCUCGAUAUUGGCUGGAAUAACUUGUUUGGUUCGGUGGAUCUUUCUUCAUUUUGGAGGUUAGGGAGUCUCACUCAUUUGGGUCUUUCCCACAACAAUCUAUCAGUCGUGGAAUUGGAUGGAGAAGAUAACAACUCUCCAUCUACCUAUCUCCCUCGAAUUACCAUGUUAGGAUUAGCAAGCUGCAAUUUAAUGAGAUUCCCACGUUCAUUGGCACACCUUAACCAAAUGUCUUACUUGGAUUUGUCAUCCAAUAGAAUCAGUGGGGCCAUUCCAAAGUGGAUGUGGGUGACAUGGAACAGUAGCCUUACAUAUUUGAAUCUUUCACACAACCUUCUCAGCAUUAUGCAACUUACAUCAUAUGUUCUCCCUUUCGAUUCGGUUGGAAAUUCUUGA
rnacentral:rRNA from 1 species